UUGCGGUGAAUACGUUCCCGGGUCUUGUACACACCGCCCGUCAAACCAUGAAAGUGACCAACACCCGAAGUCCGAUUCGUCGGCCUAAGGUAGGGGGGCAUGAUUGGGGUU
rnacentral:rRNA from 1 species